rnacentral:lncRNA from 1 species
CGAGGUCGAGAGAUCAAGACCAUCUUGGCCAACAUGGUGAAACUCCGUCUCUACCAAAAAUACAAAAAUUAGCUGGGUGAGGUGGUGCAUGCCUGUAAUCCCAGAUACUCAGGAGACUGAGGCACGAGAAUCGCUUGAACCCAGGAGGUGGAGUUUGCAGUGAGACGAGAUCGCGCCACUGCACUCUAGCCUGGCCACAGAGCAAGACUCUGUCUAAAAAAGAAAAAAAAAAAGCUUAAUAUUAAAAUAAUUAAGGGAAUGAAUUCAGAGAAUCAAUUAAGUAAUUGAGGGCAUAAUAUUGGCCUCCAACUUGAGCAGAACCUAGCCAGUUCUUUAUGUGGAAGGUGCCUGAAAACCACCCUGUGUGACGCAAUAAGAAGAACAUUAAGCUAUUGAUCAAGCAGACUGUGGAAAGGUGAAUGCAGAAGUCAUUUGUCAUCCUUGGCAUUGUGUUAAUGGAAGUUUUGUCUACACGAAGAGGACAGACAUUGUUCUACCAGAGUAAGGGAAGAACUGGAUAUCUGAGAGCUAGUCCCGGAACGUGUCCUUUGGUUUCUAGGUCUCAAAGAAGAGUAAAUGUUAUUCAUGAAUGCCUUAAACCGGAAGUGCGUAAACGGCAUGUGUGAGUGUGUGUGUUUUCCCAGACCACGCAGCAUGAAAGCUAUUGUUUCUGCUUUUAAAAACGUAGUAGAAAUCGGUAUCUAUAGAGACCUAACUGCCUGCUAUGCUUACAAAUAUUCAUAUAUUUUGAACCCAUGAUUUCUAAAUUGGUAUGGUAAUUUAUAGAAUUAUAAAUGCUAACCAAUCUCUUAUCAUGGUAAAAGGCCACCUUCAGCAAAUGUAUAUACUAAAGAGGAUAGCUAAAAGUUGGUGGAAUAACACAGAUAAUCGCAUUGUGCAAAAGCAUUAUUCCUUACUACCCUUUAAAUUGAGAAGAAGAAACAUACCUGGCUUUUACAUUUUCUGGUUAAAUAAAAUAUCAUAUUUUGGGCUAUCUCCAAGAUAGCUAACAGAUGUGAGGAUUAUAAUAAUUGGAGAGUCAUGUAAGAUCUGGCUGCCAUAAAUGUCACUGAACAGCUUUUACAACAUUAUGAUAAAAUUAUAUGGCUAUACUGUCUAGAGAGACAGUGGUCACCAAAUGUGGGUUUUAAAAUAGAGAGUAGAGUUUGGCAAGUGGUGGAAAGGGAAGCCCCAAAUUCUUCUUUCUCCAUGGACACACUGACUCAACAACAAUACAUGGACUAAUUCACUUUGUGAGAAAUCUAGAAACCAAUUAGGAGAGGCGUCUCCACCUCAGGGAAAAAAACAGCUGCAUUCCAGUUGGUAGGAAAAUUUGUCACACAUACUCAUCAUCGUUCCUCCUCAUGGCUCAGCACAGCAAAACAGGGAGAAAACUCCCAGCUCCUGGCUUCCCCCUUUGAAGGGAAUUAGGAGACUGAAACGUCCAUUCAAUGUAUAGACAUUUCAGCGGACCCCCUAAAAGAUUGGUUUUUGUCUUGCCUGAAUCUAAGCAUUAAUGAAAAAGGACACGAUGUUGCAGAUCACUGAGAACAAAGGGGUGGUUUGGACUAGUCCAGCACUCACUUGCUAUAUAGUCCAUUUCCCAAGCUCAGCUCAGAAUGAGCAAGAGAAAACCCCAACCCUCGGCAUCUCCCUGCAGAGGGAAAGAGUUGGAGACUGUGAUCAAUACUCUGGGUUUCAGAGGGAUGCCUGAAGGUCUGGUUUAUGUCUCACCUGUCUUGGAGAACUGAUAAGACCUGCAUACUUUAGAGUCCUGGAGGCCACUAAAAACAAAAGAGAAAAGCUUGCCCCUGCUCCAGGCAACCAACACAUGGUAUGGUCAGCAGAUUAUGGUACAGCUCAGUGGCUUAUGUCUUAGGAGUCAAAAAGAAGAGUGGAACAGUGGUCCACGUUCUGGCUCUUCAGGAGGCUUCCCAAGGGACUGAUUUCUGCCUCAUGUGAUGCAGAACCCUGAAGAGAUACUGCAUAAUCUAGAAGUCUGGAAGGACCUGAGGUCAUAAUAAAACUGGGAAGCUUGAGGCAGCUCGAUAGAACCUGCACUACCCCAAACAGACACCAGAAAGGACAAGAGAUUAUUAAACCCUUGAAAAAAGAAACUGACAAACCCCUCUAACUGGGAAUUUAUAUGCACAAUUUAGAAAAGACACAUCUGCAGAAAAUGUUUGAGUAUGUACCAAAAUCUCCAGCCCAGCUGACUAGUGAAGGUGUUUCCAUGGAUAAAACCCAUCCAUAAAAACAAGAUAAAUGGCUACUUUUUCAAAUAUGAAGUUCCCAACACAAAGUUACAAGGCACACAAAAAGAAGCAAAGAAACAUAGUCCUAUCAAAUAAACAAAACAAAUCUCCAGAAAGUGAUCCUAAAGAAACAGAGGUGUAUGAAUUACCUGAUAGUUCAUUAAAAUAGUCAUAAUAAAGAUCAUCAACAAGCCAAGGAAAACAAUAGAUGGACUGAGAUUUCAGGUGCUAAUCUUGUGGCUGGAGACAAUUAGUGGUGUUCUAUGUGGACUAAACCUUACUAGCUUGAAUAUAAAAAUAAUAAUAAUGGAAGGUAGCAUGUUAUUUUGUAUACAUUUUUUGAAAGAAACAUUGAAAUUUGGACAAAUUAAGCAGCCCUUCUUAUCUUCAUUUUGACAAAGUGUUGCUGUAAACCAUGUAUAACAGCUUGCAGGAGCAUAGGCUACUUUGUACAAACAUUAGAAGUACUGAAAAAUAGGCCAGCCACCGCGCCAGGCCCAUAAAGCUGUAAUCUUUAACCAUAAUACAAGAGUAGAGAAUGAACAUUGAAAAAAUGUCUCAAACUGGAUUAAAAACACUGCAUUAUAUUUUUCUUGCAUAGCUAUAAAGAAAAACCUGAGACUGGGUAAUUUAUAAAGCAAAGAGAUUGCAGUGGCUCACAUUUCUGUAGGCUGUAUAGGAAGCACGGUGGCAUCUGCUUCUGGGGAGGCCUCAGGAAGCUUACAAUCAUGGUGUAAGGUGAAGGGGAAGCAGACACAUCACAUGGCAAAAUCGAGAGCAAGAAAGAGAGGGGUGGGGGUGCCACACACUUUUUAAUGACCCGAUCUCGCAAAAACUCACCCACUAUCACAAGGACAGACCCAAGAAGAUGGUACUAAGCUAUUCAAGAGAAAUCCACCCCCAUGAUCCAAUCACUUCCCACCAAACCCCACCUCCGACAUUGGGGAUCACAAUUCAAAAUGAUAUUUGGGUGGGGACACAGAUCCACACCAUAUAA